rnacentral:rRNA from 1 species
UACAGAGGGUGCAAGCGUUGUUCGGAAUUAUUGGGCGUAAAGCGCGUGUAGGCGGCUUUGCAAGUCGGGUGUGAAAGCCCUCAGCUCAACUGAGGAAGUGCGCCCGAAACUGCAGAGCUUGAGUGCCGGAGAGGGUGGCGGAAUUCCCCAAGUAGAGGUGAAAUUCGUAGAUAUGGGGAGGAACACCGGUGGCGAAGGCGGCC